rnacentral:rRNA from 1 species
AGAGUUUGAUCCUGGCUCAGAAUGAACGCUAGCGGCGUGCUUAACGCAUGCAAGUCGCACGAGAACUCUUUAGCUUGCUAAAGAUAGUAAAGUGGCGCACGGGUGAGUAACGCGUGGGUAAUCUUCCUUCAAAUUGGGGAUAACUCGCCGAAAGGCGGGCUAAUACCGAAUAAUAUUUUUAAAAUCUUGGUUUUUAAAAUCAAAGGUGGCCUCUAUUUAUAUGCUACUGUUUGGAGAUGAGCCCGCGUACCAUUAGCUUGUUGGUAGGGUAAUGGCCUACCAAGGCUGCGAUGGUUAGCUGGUCUGAGAGGAUGAUCAGCCACACUGGAACUGACACACGGUCCAGACUCCUACGGGAGGCAGCAGUGAGGAAUUUUGCGCAAUGGGGGAAACCCUGACGCAGCAACGCCGCGUGAGUGAUGAAGGCCUUCGGGUCGUAAAGCUCUGUCAAGUGGGAAGAACCUGAUUAAUGAUAAUACCAUUAAUUACUGACGGUACCACUGAAGGAAGCACCGGCUAACUCCGUGCCAGCAGCCGCGGUAAUAC